rnacentral:rRNA from 1 species
CCGUACGGCCAUACCACCCUGAACGCGCCCGAUCUCGUCUGAUCUCGGAAGCUAAGCAGGGUCGGGCCCGGUUAGUACUUGGAUGGGAGACCGCCUGGGAAUACCGGGUGCUGUAGGCU